UGGUGGGUUGCCUUGUCAGGUUGAUUCCGGUAACGAACGAGACCUCAGCCUGCUAAAUAGUCUCUGUUGCUUUUUGCAGCUGGCUGACUUCUUAGAGGGACUAUUGGCGUUUAGUCAAUGGAAGUAUGAGGCAAUAACA
rnacentral:rRNA from 1 species